GACGGAGGAUGCAAGCGUUGUCCGGAAUUAUUGGGCGUAAAGAGCUCGUAGGCGGUCUGUCGCGUCUGCUGUGAAAACUCGGGGCUUAACCCCGGGCCUGCAGUGGGUACGGGCAGACUAGAGUGCGGUAGGGGAGACUGGAAUUCCUGGUGUAGCGGUGAAAUGCGCAGAUAUCAGGAGGAACACCGGUGGCGAAGGCGGGUCUCUGGGCCGUAACUGACGCUGAGGAGCGAAAGCAUGGGGAGCGAACAGG
rnacentral:rRNA from 1 species